rnacentral:tRNA from 1 species
GGAGAGGUGCCCGGAGUGGUUUAUCGGGGACCGGGGUUCUGGCUCCGGUCGGGUGCAAGCCCGCGCAGGUUCGAAUCCUGCCUUCUCCG